AGCAGCCGCGGUAAUUCCAGCUCCAAUAGCGUAUAUUAAAGUUGUUGCAGUUAAAAAGCUCGUAGUUGAAUUUCGGGAUCAAUAUGUUGGUCGUGCCUUUGGUACGUACUAGCUUAUUGAUUUCUCCCUUCUGACGAACCAUGAUGUCAUUAAUUUGGUGUCAUGGGGAAUCAGGACUGUUACUUUGAAAAAAUUAGAGUGUUUAAAGCAGGCUUACGCUUGAAUAUAUUAGCAUGGAAUAAUGAAAUAGGACGUUUUGAUUCUAUUUUGUUGGUUUCUAGGAUCGACGUAAUGAUUAAUAGGGAUAGUUGGGGGCAUUAGUAUUCAAUUGUCAGAGGUGAAAUUCUUGGAUUUAUUGAAGACUAACUACUGCGAAAGCAUUUGCCAAGGAUGUUUUCAUUAAUCAAGAACGAAAGUUAGGGGAUCGAAGACGAUCAGAUACCGUCGUAGUCUUAACCAUAAACUAUGCCGACUAGGGAUCGGAUGAUGUUAAUUUUUAAUGA
rnacentral:rRNA from 1 species